rnacentral:lncRNA from 1 species
CAUCGAAGGAAAAAUUAAUUCCCAAGUUUAUCAAGACAUUUUGCAGGAGAACUUAAGGCUAUCUGUCUACCAGCUGAAGCUCAACAGAAGAUGGGUGUUGCAACAGGACAAUGACCCAAAGCAUAGAAGUAAAUCAACAACAGAAUGGCUUAAACAGAAGAAAAUACGCCUUCUGAAGUGGCCCUGUCAGAGUCCUGACCUCAACCCGAUUGAGAUGCUGUGGCAUGACCUCAAGAAAGCGAUUCACACCAGACAUCCCAAGAAUAUUGCUGAACUGAAACAGUUCUGUAAAGAGGAAUGGUCAAGAAUUACUCCUGACCGUUGUGCACGUCUGAUCUGCAACUACAGGAAACGUUUGGUUGAAGUUAUUGCUGCCAAAGGAGGUUCAACCAGUUAUUAAAUCCAAGGGUUCACAUACUUUUUCC